AUGAACGCUGGCGGCGUGCCUAAUACAUGCAAGUCGAGCGAACGGACGAGAAGCUUGCUUCUCUGAUGUUAGCGGCGGACGGGUGAGUAACACGUGGAUAACCUACCUAUAAGACUGGGAUAACUUCGGGAAACCGGAGCUAAUACCGGAUAAUAUUUUGAACCGCAUGGUUCAAAAGUAAAAGACGGUCUUGCUGUCACUUAUAGAUGGAUCCGCGCUGCAUUAGCUAGUUGGUAAGGUAACGGCUUACCAAGGCAACGAUGCAUAGCCGACCUGAGAGGGUGAUCGGCCACACUGGAACUGAGACACGGUCCAGACUCCUACGGGAGGCAGCAGUAGGGAAUCUUCCGCAAUGGGCGAAAGCCUGACGGAGCAACGCCGCGUGAGUGAUGAAGGUCUUCGGAUCGUAAAACUCUGUUAUUAGGGAAGAACAUAUGUGUAAGUAACUGUGCACAUCUUGACGGUACCUAAUCAGAAAGCCACGGCUAACUACG
rnacentral:rRNA from 1 species